rnacentral:rRNA from 1 species
AGCGAACGCUGGCGGCAGGCCUAACACAUGCAAGUCGAACGAACUCUUCGGAGUUAGUGGCGGACGGGUGAGUAACACGUGGGAACGUGCCUUUAGGUUCGGAAUAACUCAGGGAAACUUGUGCUAAUACCGAAUGUGCCCUUCGGGGGAAAGAUUUAUCGCCUUUAGAGCGGCCCGCGUCUGUUUAGCUAGUUGGUGAGGUAACGGCUCACCAAGGCGACGAUCAGUAGCUGGUCUGAGAGGAUGACCAGCCACACUGGGACUGAGACACGGCCCAGACUCCUACGGGAGGCAGCAGUGGGGAAUCUUGCGCAAUGGGCGAAAGCCUGACGCAGCCAUGCCGCGUGAAUGAUGAAGGUCUUAGGAUUGUAAAAUUCUUUCACCGGGGACGAUAAUGACGGUACCCGGAGAAGAAGCCCCGGCUAACUUCGUGCCAGCCGCCGCGGUAAGAC